rnacentral:rRNA from 1 species
GGAUGAACGCUGGCGGCGUGCCUAACACAUGCAAGUCGAGCGGCAGCGAGGGGUGCUUGCACCCUGCCGGCGAGCGGCGGACGGCUGAGUAACGCGUGGGAACGUGCCCCAAAGUGAGGAAUAACUGCCCGAAAGGGUAGCUAAUACCGCAUAUUAUCUUCGGAUCAAAGGAUUUAUCCGCUUUGGGAGCGGCUCGCGUCGGAUGAGGUAGUUGGUGAGGUAAUGGCUCACCAAGCCGACGAUCCGUAGCUGGUCUGAGAGGAUGACCAGCCAGACUGGAACUGAGACACGGUCCAGACUCCUACGGGAGGCAGCAGUGGGGAAUCUGCCACAAUGGGCGAAAGCCUGAUGGAGCAACGCCGCGUGCAGGAAGAAGGCCUUCGGGUUGUAAACUGCUUUUAUAAGUGAGGAAUAUGACGGUAACUUAUGAAUAAGGAUCGGCUAACUACGUG